rnacentral:rRNA from 1 species
AUUGAACGCUGGCGGCAGGCCUAACACAUGCAAGUCGAGCGGAGCGGCGGAGGGGUGAGUAAUGCCUAGGAAUCUGCCAGGUAGUGGGGGAUAACGUCCGGAAAUGGGCGCUAAUACCGCAUACUAUCAGACGAGCCUAGGUCGGAUUAGCUAGUUGGUGGGGUAAAGGCCUACCAGGGCGACGAUCCGUAACUGGGCUGAGAGGAUGAUCAGUAACACUGGAACUGGGACACGGUCCGGACUCCUACGGGAGGCAGCAGUGGGGAAUAUUGGACAAUGGGCGAAAGCCUGAGGCAGCCAUGCCGCGUGUGUGAAGAAGGUCUUCGGAUUGUAAAGCACUUUAAGUUGGGAGGCGUUACCAGCAGAAUAAGCACCGGCUAACUUCGUGCCAGCCGCCGCGGUAAUAC